rnacentral:rRNA from 1 species
GACGAACCGAGCGAACGUUGUUCGGAAUCACUGGGCUUAAAGGGCGCGUAGGCGGGUGCUCAAGUCUGUGGUGAAAUCCUCCGGCUCAACCGGAGAACGGCCAUGGAUACUGGGUGCCUCGAGGGUGAUAGGGGUAUGCGGAACUAUCGGUGGAGCGGUGAAGUGCGUUGAUAUCGAUAGGAACUCCGGUGGCGAAGGCGGCAUACUGGAUCACUUCUGACGCUGAGGCGCGAAAGCCAGGGGAGCGAACGGG